UACGAAGGGUGCAAGCGUUAAUCGGAAUUACUGGGCGUAAAGGGUGCGUAGGCGGUUGUUUAAGUCUGCCGUGAAAUCCCCGGGCUCAACCUGGGAAUGGCGGUGGAUACUGGAUAGCUAGAGUGUGUCAGAGGAUGGUGGAAUUCCCGGUGUAGCGGUGAAAAUGCGCAGAUAUCGGGAAGAACACCCGUGGCGAAGGCGGCUCUCUGGGACGGUACUGACGCUGAGACGCGGAAAAGCGUGGGGGAGCGAACAGGGA
rnacentral:rRNA from 1 species